UAUUGGCUCUGCAAUCCGGCUACUUGUCAUGCAUAAUUCGGUAUACUUGUAUGCAUUGUUUUGCACCUAAGUAAUGCUUUAAUUUUCAUAUGCAUGAUUUGGGCACAGCUAAUACAAAUGUGCGUCAUUUAACUAACAAACUUAUCCAUUUAAUGAACUAAGUUCCUAAUAUUUACUGUUGUUUUUUAUUGCAGGUACGUGAGCUCGAAGAAGUAUUUUCAAAAAAGAAGUUCUUAGAUGACGACCAGCGAAAGGCUAUCGCAGGUCAACUGAAACUGACCGAGCUUCAAGUGAAGACUUGGUUUCAAAAUCGACGAACAAAGUGGAGACGAGAGGCAGAGGAAGCGAAGACGAUGAACGAGCUUUUAAAAGAGCGCCAGGGAUGAGGGAGGUUUGCACUGGCGACAGGCGACCUAUCCUCAGUCUUAUCCAACAGUGACUGGGCCACAGAACCAAUGACCGCUGGACCAGUGACUGUUCGGACCAGUGCUUACGGGAUCAGUGACCGCUUGGACCAGUGAUUGUGGGGCCAAUGACCGUUUGGACCAGUGAUCACAGGGCCAGUGACCGUUUGGGCCAGUGAUUACCGGACUAGUGGUCGAUUGGGACAGUAAUCAAAAGGCCCGUAAAUGUAGGUAUGUGUAGCUAGACCAGUGGUCAUGGAACGGUGAAUAAAUUCCCGAGCAGGAUUCCAAGCCGCAGAGCCGGCACAGCACUGAACAGUGUCAUUCAAGUUAACGGCAAACAGUACCUAUUUUUUACCAGCUGGCAGCUUUUAUUCCUCACGUAGGUACUUAAAAGAAUUAAUUUAACAGAAUUACGCCAACUGAACUCGUGUCAAUGUUUUAUGAUCUGUCUGCGUUAUACUUGCAGCAAUUAUAAGUGUGAUACGAUAUGCAAUAAAAAGACUAUAUGGA
rnacentral:lncRNA from 1 species